rnacentral:rRNA from 1 species
AAGAAACUAACAAGGAUUCCCCUAGUAACUGCGAGUGAAGCGGGAAAAGCUCAAAUUUAAAAUCUGACAGUUGUUUUGGCUGUCCGAGUUGUAAUCUAGAGAAGUGUCUACCCGCGCUGGACCGUGUACAAGUCUCCUGGAAUGGAGCAUCAUAGAGGGUGAGAAUCCCGUCUUUGACAUGGAUCUACCAGGGCUUUGUGGUGCACUCUCAAAGAGUCGAGUUGUUUGGGAAUGCAGCUCAAAAUGGGUGGUAAAUGCCAUCUAAAGCUAAAUAUUGGCGAGAGACCGAUAGCGAACAAGUACCGUGAGGGAAAGAUGAAAAGAACUUUGGAAAGAGAGUUAAACAGUACGUGAAAUUGCUGAAAGGGAAACGCUUGAAGUCAGUCGCAUCGACUGGAAAUCAACCUUGCUUUUGCAUGGUGUACUUUCUGGCUGAUGGGUCAGCAUCAAUUUUGAUUGCUGGAUAAAGGCUUGGGGAAUGUGGCAUCUUUGGAUGUGUUAUAGCCCCUGGCUGCAUACGGCAGUUGGGAUUGAGGAACUCAGCAUGCCGCAAGGCCGGGUCUUUUUGACCACRUAUAUGUGCUUAGGAUGCUGGCAUAAUGGCUUUAAUCGACCCGUCUUGAAACACGGACCAAGGAGUCUAACAUGCAUGYGAGUGUUUGGGUGGAAAACCCAUGCGCGCAAUGAAAGUGAAAGUUGAGAUCCCUGUCGUGGGGAGCAUCGACGCCCAGACCAGACCUUUUGUGACGGAUCUGCGGUAGAGCAUGUAUGUUGGGACCCGAAAGAUGGUGAACUAUGCCUGAAUAGGGUGAAGCCAGAGGAAACUCUGGUGGAGGCUCGUAGCGAUUCUGACGUGCAAAUCGAUCGUCAAAUUUGGGUAUAGGGGCGAAAGACUAAUCGAACCAU